rnacentral:rRNA from 1 species
GAUGAACGCUAGCGAGACGCUUAACACAUGCAAGUCGAAUGUAGAUUUAUCUACAUGGCAGACGGGUGAGUAACACGUGCUUAAUUUACCCCGGAGUGGGGACAACAUCGGAAACGGUGAUAAUCCCGCAUACGUUCCACAAAAUGAAAAUAUGUGGAAGAAAGAUUUAUCGCUCUGGGAGGAGGGCGCGGCUGACUAGUUAGUUGGUGAGGUAAUGGCUCACCAAGACGAUGAUCAGUAGCUGGUCUGAGAGGACGAACAGCCACAAUGGGACUGAGACAAGGCCCAUACCCCUACGGGGGCGAGCAGUGGGAAGUCUUGCGCAAUGGACGAAAGUCUGACGCAGCGAUCUCGCGUGAAGGAUGAAGCUUUGCGGAGUGUAAACUUCUUUUCUGGGAGAAAACGACUGAUGGUAUCUCAAGAAUAAGGGACGGCUAACUACGUGCCAGCAGCCGCGGUUAAUGUAGUCGUGU